rnacentral:tRNA from 1 species
GUUCGCCGUGGCCGACGGUCAGGUCCACCUCGUGCAGGGCGGUGACUCCCGGGUAGCUCUUGGUGACCCGUUCGAGUUCGAUGACGGUCG